UCGAGGAUCUUCGGCAAUGGGCGCAAGCCUGACCGAGCGACGCCGCGUGUGGGAUGAAGGCCUUCGGGUUGUAAACCACUGUCAGUGGGGAGGAAAUUGGGUGGGGGUUCUCCCCCAUCAUUGACCUAUCCGCAGAGGAAGGGUGGGCUAAGCUCGUGCCAGCAGCCGCGGUAAGACGAGCCACCCGAACGUUAUUCGGAAUUACUGGGCUUAAAGGGUGCGUAGGCGGUGCAGCAAGUCGGGAGUGAAAUACCCCAGCUUAACUGAGGAAUUGCUUUCGAUACUGCUGUGCUUGAGUGAGACAGAGGUAAGCGGAACUUAGGGUGGAGCGGUGAAAUGCGUUGAUAUCCUAAGGAACACCGGUGGCGAAGGCGGCUUACUGGGUCUCAACUGACGCUGAGGCACGAAAGCUAGGGUAGCAAACGG
rnacentral:rRNA from 1 species